rnacentral:tRNA from 1 species
GGGGGUGUAGCUCGGAGCAAGAGCACUUGCCUGGCAUGCAUGAGGCUCUGGGUUUGAUUCCUAGCACUACAA